rnacentral:rRNA from 1 species
AACGAACGUUGGCGGCGUGGAUUAGGCAUGCAAGUCGAACGCGAAUCCCUGGGCAACUGGGGAGGAGAGUGGCGAAAGGGGCAGUAAGGCGUGGGUAACCUACCCUCCUGUCCGGGAUAGCUUCGGGAAACUGAAGGUAAUACCGGGCGACGCAGCGAGAUCGCAUGGUCUUUCUGCCAAAGGUCCGCCGCCGGGGGAGGGGCUCACGUGGUAUUAGCUAGACUGAGGGGUAACGGCCCACCGUGGCAAAGAUGCCUAGCAGGUGUCAGAGCACGAGCUGCGCCACUGGGACUGCGACACUGGCCAGACACAUAGGGGCGGCCGCAGUGGAGGAUAUUCGGAAAUGGGAGCGAGGCUGACCGGGCGAAGCCGCGUGGGCGGUAAAGGCCUUUGGGUUGUAAAGAACUGACGAGGGGGAGGAAGCCGCCAGGUUGACCUAUCCCUGGAGGAAGCACGGGCUAAGUUCGUG